UCUAUGUCAAACCCUAGCUCUCUUCUCGCGCUAAACUCUUCAUACCCUCUCUUAUCAAUCACUCACUCUUCCACCAUUAAUCCAUGAUUGCCGAAGAUCUUUCGAAGCAAGUCGUACUACCACCGCCGAAGUUCAUCGCGCUAUUGUUUCGUACGGACAGCAGUUCACUCUAUUUUCUCAUUCACUCUCUUGUUGUUAAUGUUGCUUACAAUCAUCGCGUGUUGGUGAUUGAUGGGAAAGAGAGAGUGUUGGUUUCUAAAUUCAUACACUAUCCUCGGAGUAUUCUGGAGGUUUGUUUUCUUUUUCUUGCUUUGAGAAUUUUUUUUUUGUAUCUAUAUCGGUUUUGUGGUUUCUUGAAUUUUAAAUGUGGCUAGGGAUAUUCAGAAAUCUAAGGAUGGAAGUUGUAUGUGAUCGAGGCUUAUGUGCUUUGGAAUCUACAUGAACGGGUUUGGAAUUUGGUACAUUUUUGUGAACUCAUCGAUUAAAAUUGGGGAGGGGGACAAUGAACGAAGUUUUGUCAUAAAAUCUAAUAAUUGUGAUGCUUUAAUAAGAAGGAUGUCUAUCUCAGUUGUGAGUUUUAAAUGUGUAGAUCUGUGUCUAUAAGUUGUUGCACGAAGUUAAAAAUUGCCGAUACAUUUUUAACUUUGUAUAUUGACAUCGCUUAGAAGAACUGAAAUGAUUUAUUUACCCAUCCAUUAAGUUUAGCCCUGAGUUCACUUGCAAUAGAAUUUCUUUGCUAGUGGUUGGUCGUGUUGUUGUAUGAAGCUUAUUGCAAACUUAAUUUUCACACUGCUAGCGGGCUUAUUUAUUCAAUGAAAAGUAUAUUGAAAGUUCACUAACUACGCAACUUUAUUUUUCUUUAGUUGUAUUUGUUAACCUUUUUUCUUUCUGUUCUAACUAACACAUUGGCAUGUUUGGUAUCAAAGGGGAUCUACUUGAUGUUGUUGUUCCUCCAUUGGCCAAGUCUAUUACUGAUGGAACGCUGGCAAAAUUCUUGAAGAAUCCGGAUGAUAGAGUAGAAUUGGAUGAAGCAUUUGCUCAAAUUGAAAUAGUUCAUUGUAGUUAUGGUUAAAUUGGCAGUAAUUGUUUUUCAAAGUGAUGGGAUGAGCAACAUUACUACGUGGAUUACAAAACAAAUUGUGUUUUGGUUGAUAGAGCGAUAUCAUCAUUUGAUUCUUUUGUGAACUUGAUUCAUACUGAAAUUCAGGUUGAGUCAUGUAUUGAACUUUCAAUUUUAAUUUGUUGACUAUAGGCGAUAAUGAUGUUCAACAUGUUAUUAAGAUUGUAAACAUACCAUAACAAAUGUAUCGACAAUACAUAAAGUGUAUCAUGCUUAGUGCAUCAGGUGUAUUUAAUUAAUUGAGUGUAUCAACAGUUUCGCAAGUGUAUCAA